rnacentral:rRNA from 1 species
CGGUGAAUACGUUCCCGGACCUUGUACACACCGCCCGUCAAGCCAUGGAAGCUGGGUGUACCUAAAGUCGGUAGCCGCAAGGAGCCGCCUAGGGUAAAACUAGUAACUGGGGCU